rnacentral:misc_RNA from 1 species
UUGCAGGAUCAACCAGGUAGCAUUCCUCACGGACAUCGAGCCGCAAGACGCGUCGCGUCAGUGCGGCACCGAACGUCGUUCGAACGUGGCGUGUGACGCCAAUUUCGUGGGCAAGAAGAGGUCGGGGACCCCGUGCCCGUAGCGUUUUCAGCAUCCCAAAGGUCGAGCGGGAGCCCGGGGGCCGCGACGACGACACUGUGCGCGGUCGUCGCGGGACACGGGUCUCACUUCCGGGUUCGCCCGUAGCCGCGCCGUGCGAACGGGCAACGCUAGGCGAACGUGGGAAAAAUCGGCCAACACAAUUCCGUUUACGUAGGUAUGCAACACAGGAAACCAACGGGCACGGC